AUGCAGGAGAGAAGCAGCUUUCUGUCAAGUUUUGCUUUUCUCUAUGUGCAGAUCAAAUCAGCAGAAAGGGGGUCUCUUAGUCUGCUGCCUCUGACUGUGCUUUUCGGUUCUUGCUCAGGUAUACAAAUGCUCUCAGUCCAGCCAGACACCAAGCCGAAAGGUUGUGCUGGCUGCAACCGUAAGAUUAAAGACCGGUAUCUUCUAAAGGCCCUGGACAAAUACUGGCAUGAAGACUGCCUGAAAUGUGCCUGCUGUGACUGUCGUUUGGGGGAGGUGGGCUCUACUUUGUACACCAAAGCCAACCUUAUCCUUUGUCGCAGAGACUAUCUGAGGUUAUUUGGAGUUACAGGAAACUGUGCUGCCUGCAGUAAGCUCAUACCUGCUUUUGAGAUGGUGAUGAGAGCUAAGGACAAUGUUUAUCACCUGGACUGUUUUGCAUGUCAACUUUGUAAUCAGAGGUGGGAAGAAACACACGAGAUGUACAUUUCUAGGGAAGUAACAAAAACUUAGUGAGAUAAUAGUCUAACACGCCAAAGUUAGAUAGAGCUCUAAAUAAGCUUUGCUAACUCACGUUGUCCUACAGUGUAUUAUUUUGUAACACUGUAGUCGUUUAAAAAUCAAACAUCCCUAAAGAACCAUAAAAUGUACAGCUGCUAAUAAGUAUAGCACACUACAAUUACACUCUUAAAAAAAGCCAAAUUGACCUUUUUCAUUAUGUUGCAUGGGAAAUUAAAAUACCAGGCAAGUAAUAACCGCUGCUUAAAGUAUAUAAUAAUGCAAAGUAAUUAUAGGUUCUAAUGCUAUUUAAAGUCCUAUAUCAAUUUUGUCUUGCCACAGAACUAAAAAGCCGUACUCUGAGUAAGGCAGGCAGAGCUUCCCAGUAGAGCCCACUGAAGUAAGACACACACACACUCCAAGAUUUCGUUUCUUAAACCCUUCACAUCCCUGUUUCUGCAAACCACUCUUCUAGUAUCACUAUUAAAGUGCCUAAUAUAUUUCUGUUGUUCGCUUCAUUUAUUACAUGCCAUAAUGGGGCUGCAUAUCUUUAGUGUUGGUUAUGCACAAUUAGCACUUAGUUAUUGUCUUGUCACUUCAGCCCAUACAAGACAAACUUCUUUAAUGUAAGAAGUCAGCUAAUCUUCAUCAGUCAAGCAAAGCAGACAAUGUUUGUUACCCUGAGUACAAAAGAUUUUCCUCAUAGUUAGUAUUCUUGGAUGUGAGGAAAUGAACUUCUUUUCUCUUCCCCAAAAAAACUAAGCUGUUGAGAUCAUUUUUAAUAUUCCUCUUUUGCCGUAACAAGUGUGAACUAAUGUACAGUUCCUCUUUGCAGCUAAUAUACAUCAUAUUUUGCCCUAGGGCCACUGAUUCCCACCGGAAAACUGCUGUUAGGUGCUUCUAAAGAGGAGCAUUCCAGGGAUAUCUAAUAAUUAUUAGCCUUGUCAUUCCUCAGCCUUCAGUCUAGGCUCUUAUUUGAUUUUUGCCUUGCAUAUAGUUUGGACAAAUGGUUGCUGAGAUAGUCUUAUGAGAGUCUUAGAUUGGGAACACAGGAAUUCAUUUACCUGAAAUACGAUUUAGUUCAUCUAGUCAGAAAAGUGAGUAGUACCAGAAGUUUCAGAGAGAUUCAGGAAUUGUCAAAAGUGGCCCUAGUCCUGAUUAUAUUGCAAUAGCUCUCAAGGAACCUAAUAAAACAGGCUGCCUGUAGGGUAUGUUUCUUCCUCACAAUUUGGGGCUAGCAGCAUUCUGAAGAAUUAGUUUUGUGUUUUUUCAUAAGAAAUCCUAUUUCGUGGAUGCUCCAGCUUAGUUCUUCUGUGGUUCUUAUGGCAAAGCAUUCCACUGACUGUCCAUUCGCUCAUUAAUAAAUGGUUUUAAAUCUUUUGGUUUUCAUUACUUAUAUAAUUGCAAAAAAUAGAAAUACUGGACAGCUGACCCCAUGCACCUGAUUAUUUUUUAUAUUUCUACUGUGAAAUCUCUUUCCUUUUAAACUGAAUAAUCUUGUCAGUCACCACACCAUUAACAAUUUCAUUGCCCUUGUCAGGAUCCUCUGUUCUUCCUCUACUUGAGAUAGGGUAAUCAAAACCAAACAGCAGAUUCCAGGUGAGGAUGAGUUUGUAAGAUAACCGUUUAAUUUUGUUUCUUUAUUCCAUGCUUCCCUUUGUAUGCAAAAUAAUGUUCUUGAAUUGACUUUGAAGUCUGCUCUUCACUUUCACUCCAGUCACUAUCCCUAAUGUGGCAUGCUCAAAGAUAAAUAUUUUUAUUUACAAACACAUCAGCAAUAUCCACAAAUCACCAAUAGAGCUAGCAGAACUCACCAGUUAUUGCAAGACAUGUAUAUUUGACCCUGUUCCCUACCUUCACCUUCUCUUCCUCAAUUAAAUUUUAAAUUCUUUGUGACAUUCUUUCCACUGAGAGAACUUCAAUGUAUCGGGGGUGUUACUGUAAAGCAUACAAUUGUUAUUGUCUACCAUUUCAUUUUUCCUAACAGAAGAUAUGCAACGUUCAUGAGGAGACUAAAUUGUUUCUUCAGUUUGCAUUACUUUGCAUUGGCCAACAGUGAAUUUCUUCUGACAUGAUGCGCCUGGUUGUUUGGAAUUCCUCCUGAUGCCUUCUGCCUUCCAAACUUGCUAAUAAUUAUAUUAACUCACAUCACAUUGAUCCUUGGGGCAACCAGCUCUUUAUGCUUACUAUCAUAUGACCCUCAUAUUUUUGCCCUUUAAACAGUUGGUCCUGGCCUGGCGAGAGAGGAGCCUGCCUGUUGCCAGUGCUUUUCAUGAAAAAUUCAAUGAUUUUUCUGCUUUUAUGUACAGCUUCAGUUUGCUUUAUUGUUUUUGAGUACGUACUACUCAACAUCUGCAUCAGGGCUCAGUGUGGAUGGUAGUUAGACCACUUUGAUUUUAGGGGACUUUUGUUCAGGCUAUAAACUUCUCCCCUGAACUAACAUUUAAGGUAUCUCCCCCUUUUUAUUGGCCUCCAGAAGGCUAGAUUUUCAAAGUUAGAAAACCUGGUUGCCUCAUAUGUCUCUCAUAAUGUAUGCUAGAAACAUAGGACUGGAAAGGAUCUCUUGAGCCACUCAGUGUAGUCCCCUGGUGUCAAAUAAGCACUGUGUCGUAUUUUCCCUUUCAUAAAGCUAUUACAUCUCUAGAAUCUAAUUGCUCCAUCCAGCCAUUUUUUUGCCAUAUACUUUCCUUUUGUUCUUGCUACUGGUGUGUAAAGCCAUAGAGAUUUUGUGAAUAUUAAGCUCUACUCCUAGUUUAAAGGUUUUAGCUUCCCCUUAUCUUUCAUGUCUCUGUACAGUUUCCUCCUAAUUUGAAGAGUUUUUCCAUCUCCUCAAUACCCACAGAGCUUAGUGACAGUCAUCUUAGUGGUCUGAAUGCUCCCCUUUCCAUUCUGUAUUAAACUUCUCAGAAGCACUUCACCUCACUUUGGCAGUACCCUCAAUGUAGGUUGAUUUCUGUAGAAAAUUUAAAGGAAAAAUGGAAACCACUGGAAAAUAAACUUGUAAACAGACAUUGCCUUUCACACUUUGUCAGGUUGCAUGUGUGUGACUAGCAAAAUGGAGUGGAAAAUCUUGCAAGUAGGCUCAGCUGUAUCUUUGCUUGACACUUUUGACUACGGUGAUGAUCUCAGUCUGCCUUCGGCUUUCCCACUUUCCUGAGUUUCCGUGUCCUUCCUUUCACUCUCUGUCGGCUAUUUUAGCAGCUUGUUCCAUACUUCUGCAAUAAUUUCUGUCUAUAUCCUGAAGUCAGCCUGGGGUGUGGUUUAAAACCCCACAUCUGCUGUCACUGAAGGGUGGUUAAAUCAAUUCUUCUAUCCUUCCAUUUCUGUCUUGGAAACAGCCUUUAUUUUACUGGGCACUAGAUUGAGAAUGGUUACACGGCCAUUCAAAUCACUGUCCUCAUGUAGCUGUAAACACUUACAUCUUGUAUAAACUGCAGAAUGCCCACACAAUGCUGGCUUUGUUCGCUAUCAAGCAGGGGAUUUUGUGGAAUGUAACGUUAGGGGCAUACUUGUUUCAAACACUAGCAUUAGAUUUUUGUGUGUAUGCUCCUUUUAUAAAUUUUUAAGACCUUUAUUUUCAUUGAACAUCUCUAAAUUUAGAAUAAAAAUAAAUACAUUUUCCAUACCAGCUUUCAUAAAAAUAAUAAUGGAAAAGCACACCAAGUUGAGAUUUUUCAUCUUAAGCUGAACUGGCUUACCAUUUACUUAGGAUUCUGUGCAUUUAAUUCAUCUUAGUGAUGAAAAUGUAGAAACCUAGUCACAGCUUAGACUAUCCAGCCUUUGAUAAUAAAUGGACCUUUUGACACAACCCUAAAAUUAGUAAAAUACAGGUGUGGACAGAUGAGCUGUGAAGUAAAAGAGUGGCUUUGUUCUCUUGGUAAUGCAUGUAGAUUAGCAUUAAUUUGAGUUAUACUGGAAACUCAACUGAAAAAAAAGGAAGGGAGAAAAGCAGAGGACAAAUUACAUCACUGAGUGCAAAAAAAACCCAGAGAGGACAGGUGGGGAGGGGUAAGUCUGUGCUUUCUUUAUACUAGAGGAAAUCAAUUAAAUGCAUCCAUAUUUUGUUUAUGCCUUUCUGCAACAACAAAGCUCUGACAUUACCAAAGGAGGCACUUCACACACAGCAAUCUUUGUUCACAACAAUAUUUCUCUCACUUUCUUAAGAAGUCUUCAGUACUUUGACAUGCAUCCUGUAUGUCAGAAAUGACAGACAGCAGAAAGAUCUCCUUAAAUCUCUGCUCUGAACAAAGAAGUAGCUAUUUCUCAAAAUGGAAAUUUUAUACUACUUGUGAUUAGUCUAGGCACACCUUCCCCUUCCAAACAAGAUGAUUACAGAGGUCAUUUUGUAAUAUAAAUGGCCUUCCUUUUGCCAUUUUAAAAUAUGACCGGAGUUCUGGGAUAUAGGUUAAUUAUAAUGGUCAUUCUACUAAUGUCACAGUCAUGUCAAAAGUAGUACUAUCAAUUUAUGGUGGUAAGUCCAAUCUGGCAUGUUAAUGCAGCCUAUUGUAUAUUUUUUCCUCUUCAUCUUGCAUGCCUAUUAAAUAAAUUAAACUGGGUGAGGGUUUUAGGGAAGAAAAGGCUGAAGACUACUAUCUGUCUGCUAGAAAAGUAAUAGUCUUGCCUCAUUAUAUACUCCUAAGUCAAUUGCCAUUUUAAUAUGGGAACGCUUUGCUUUUUCACCAAAGAUCAAUAUUCAUCUCAAUAUCCUCCUUGACUCUAUUUGAUAUACGUGCCCAAUUGUGCCCUGAUUUACACCCAAUGUCAAUUCCAUUAAAAAACACUCUUGCAGGGGGUGGAAGGGUAGGCUUGAAUUUCCCCUUCUGCUUUAAACCUGAUCUAGCCAAUCCUUAAGUGUGCAAAACCAGAUCAAAGAAGUUGGAAAAUUUACCAUUUUGACUUUAGAAGAGGCUAAGUCUGCUUUUGAGAGUCAGAUAAGGUCAAAAGCAUAGCACCGGCUGGACAGAAUUUGUCGCAUUUCAUCCGUCUAGCUGCCCUCUCUCGUUGUGCUUGGGAGCGAGUGUGCUCCGUUUAAAGUCUUUUGUCACCUGCUGCUUACCUCUUUGUCACCUAAUGAAUGCAUAAUUCACACCUUUAAUAGUCAGGGGCACAUGCAAGCCUCACCUUCUUCAAUCUUUGCCAAUGUGUUUCAGUCACUGAACUUACACAAUAUGAAAACAGUCACAGAAUCUGGACCAUAAGUAUCACACAGGUAACAGGUUUCCUCCAAGACACGGAUGAUCCCCCCACCCCCGCAGCGUGCAGACGUAGCUGCAGAUGAGCACGGAGGGUGUCUUGCCAUGCAGAGAGACGGCCACCCGACAGGUUAUCGCACAGCCAAGCAUGUCUAGACAGACCACCGGCAGCCUCUCCACCAGACGGCUGUACGGUUGGAAGAUUUUGCGUUGGAGACAAAUUUUUCCUGAAGAACAACAUGAUUCUGUGCCAGACAGACUAUGAGGAAGGUUUAAUGAAAGAAGGUUAUGCACCCCAGGUUCGCUGAUCUGAUGCCACAUCAUUAAGAAUAGAAAGCACUAUCUUCUUUUAUCUUUUUUGCUCAACAUGUAUAUAAGAAAUGACACAGGAACCUACUGAAUAGCGUAGAUAUAGGGAGACAGGAUGGUUGCGUGAAAUAAAAGGCGGACUGCAUCUGUAUGUAGUGAAAAUUGCUCCAGUUCAGAGUUGAAUGUUAAUUAAAAAGGUACUGUACAUACAGCUGGAUUCUUUUUGCUUGCUAUUGGGGUUUUUGGUUUGUUUGUUUGUUUUUUGUUUCUUUUUGUGUCAUUUGGCAUGAGAUGUUUAUUUUGGACUACUGUAUAUAAUGUAUUGUAAUAUCUGAAGCACAAAUGUAAUACAGUUUUAUUGUGUUA